rnacentral:rRNA from 1 species
UGUUGGUUCACCGCUCGCGGUGUUUACUGGCAUGAUGUGGGACGUCCUACCGGUGGGCUUAGCUCUUCGGGGCGGUCCAACUAAUAUCCCAUCGCGGUGCUCUUCAUUGAGUGUCGAGAUGGGCCGGUACGUUUACUUUGAACAAAUUAGAGUGCUUAAAGCA